UUUCCUCUCUCUAUACGUGUUUCUGUAAUAGUUGUCUCUCUCUAUCUGUUGCCGAAUUCAGAAUCAUCUUUGCAUAUUCAAUUCUUGUCCGAAUAGCCUUCAUAUGAUUGUGCCUCUUCAAAUCCCAGCAGCUAAUUAAGCUCUCUCUCUCUCUCUCUAUAUAUAUAUAUAUAUAUAUAUUCGGCCAGCAUACAACACCAAUCGGGACUCUAUAGGUAUGUAAUCCAGACUCUUAUUUACCUCACACGGAUCUGCUUAUGAAAAAAAUCAACUUUGUCUUUAAUUGCUCGUCUCUCUAGCUCCUUUUAGGUGCGUCAUUUGCAUAUAAACCAAACCCAUCAUCAUCAUCAUCAUCAUCAUCAUCAUCAUCAUCAUAUCUUUGAUUUCAGAUUAAAUGUUCACUCUAUCUUAGUUCCACUUAAUACAAAUUAUUGGAAAUGAAUCUUAAUUAUACUUACUAGUAUUACUCUUUACAUUCAUGACAUUCAUUUUUUGUUGACUUUAUUUCGCGAGAGAAAUUGGGUAUUUUGUGACAGAAAUUUCCCAGAUUAAUUUGGUCUGGACGGGAUAAAAUCAACCCAUUUUCUAUAUAAAUUUUGGUUUUGUUUUGUUUUGUUUUAUGUGUUAGGUGAUGCAAUGAAUUGCUUCUGCACAACAGAAUCGAGUGGACAAGAGAGAAAGAUGAUAGCUGGACCUGGACGGACUUAUGGCUUCAACAGUAUGCAGAAGGUGCGUGUCCCUUCUUUUCACCCUACACGUGUUGUUGUUAUUUGGCUUUUCUGGCCUCUUCCAACAAAUACACAAAGUAUGACAACACUCAUCUAUGCUUUGUUUUAUAUAUUAAAUAGUAUGUAUGAUGAUGUUGAUCCAAUUCGUUAAUGGGCUUUGGGCUUUUGGGCCUCUCCUUGAGUUUAUCUAUUUUGUCCUUUAUGCCUGCCAUAGUGUCUAUAAUAUGCCUGCCAUUGUAAAUAUAUUGUAUUGGAAUUUCAAACGUGGAUUUGUAAACCUUAGACAUUAGACUAUAAUACUACUAGUUUUUUUUAUCUAUGAUUGUGAUUACUGACCUAAACAUGCCAUUUCACUUCCAUCUCACUGUAUAUUUAUAAAAUUGAAAAAUAUCAACAUUUAAACAAGGGAAUUUGUAAUUGUACCAAGCUAUUUGGUGUUCAACUUCAGUGAUACUUAGACAUUUAAUUCUUUUCCACGUUACCAUUACCAAGUCAUAUAUUGAAUUUUUUUAAUGAAGAACUAAUAUUUAGAAUAUUUAUCUUAUCUUGCCCUGUAAUUGAGUGAGGGCUGAAAACAUUGAGUUGCACAAGCUCCACAUAUUUUUCUGACAACUAACAAGCUUAAAAGCUCAAGCUGGCCCAUACGUGUAUGAGCUG
rnacentral:lncRNA from 1 species